ACGGGAGGCAGCAGUGGGGGAUAUUGCACAAUGGGGGAAACCCUGAUGCAGCGACGCCGCGUGAGUGAAGAAGUAUUUCGGUAUGUAAAGCUCUAUCAGCAGGAAAGAUAAUGACGGUACCUGACUAAGAAGCACCGGCUAAAUACGUGCCAGCAGCCGCGGUAAUACGUAUGGUGCAAGCGUUAUCCGGAUUUACUGGGUGUAAAGGGAGCGUAGACGGAAUAGCAAGUUUGAAGUGAAAUACCUGGGCUUAACCCAGGAAUUGCUUUGAAAACUGUUAAUCUAGAGUACUGGAGGGGUAUGGGGAAUUCCUAGUGUAGUAGUGAAAUGCGUAGAUAUUAGGAGGAACACCGGAGGCGAAGGCGCCAUACUGGACAGAUACUGACGUUGAGGCUCGAAAGCGUGGGGAGCAAACAGGAUUAGAUACCCUGGUA
rnacentral:rRNA from 1 species